rnacentral:rRNA from 1 species
CGUGGGGAGCAAACAKGAGUAGACACGUGGGUAGACCAUGCCCAUAACGACUGAGUGAUAAGUGCUACCGGGAAACCGCCCUUUAGGGCUGAAAUUACCGGAUAACAUUUUGAACCGCAUGGUUCGAAAUUGAAAGGCGGCUUCGGCUGUCACUCUAUGGAAUGGACCCGCGCUCGCAUUAGCUAGUUGGUGCAGGUAACGGCUCAUCCAAGGCAACGAUGCGUAGCCGACCUGAGAGGGUGAUCGGCCACCACUGAGGACCCUAGAGACACGGCCCAGACUCCUACGGGAGGCAGCAGUAGGGAAUCUUCCGCAAUGGACGAAAGUCUGACGGAGCAACGCGCGUCGUGAGAUGAUGGGUAAGGCUUUCGGGUCGUAAGCAACUCUUGUUGUUAGGGAAGAACAAGUGCUAGUUGAAUAAGCUAAGGCACCUUGACGGUACCUAACCGGAGAAAGCCACGGCUAACUACGUGCCAGCAUGCCGCGGUAAUACGUAGGUGGCAAGCGUGCUACAAUGGCCGGAAUUAUUGGGCGUAAAGCGCGCGCAGGUGGUUUCUUAAGUCUGAUGUGAAAGCCCACGGCUCAACCGUGGAGGGUCAUUGGAAACUGGGAGACUUGAGUGCAGAAGAGGAAAGUGGAAUCUCCAUGUGUAGCGGAUGAACAUGCCGUAGAGAUAUGGAGGAACACCAGUGGCGAAGGCGACUUUCUGGUCUGUAACUGACACUGAGGCGCGAAAGCGUGGGGAGCAAACAGGAUUAGAUACCCUGGUAGUCCACGCCGUAAACGAUGAGUGCUAAGUGUUAGAGGGUUU